UACGAAGGGUGCGAGCGUUAUUCGGAGUUAUUGGGCGUAAAGAGCGCGUAGGCGGUUUGAUAAGUCAGUUGUUAAAGAACCCGGCUUAACUGGGUAAAGGCGAUUGAAACUGUCUGGCUAGAGGGUAAGAGAGAGAAGCGGAAUUCUCGGAGUAGCGGUAAAAUGCGUAGAUCUCGAGAGGAACACCGGUGGCGAAGGUGGCUUCUUGGCUUACUACUGACGCUAAAGUGCGAAAGCGUGGGGAGCAAACAGGAUUAGAUACCCUAGUAGU
rnacentral:rRNA from 1 species